rnacentral:ribozyme from 13 species
CUCUCGUUUUCUUUUUCCUUUUCACCUCUGUUUUCUUCUUUCUUCUCUUUUCUUGUUUCACCUUGAGAAAAAAGAAGAGAGAGAAAUUGGAAUGCUGCACCCAAAAUGGCUGCGAACAAAAAGAUAGAAUUUUACCGGAUCUGGUUUCAACAGGUCCCAAAAAACAAAAACAAAACAAAACAACAAAAACAGUUUUUGUUCUCUUUUCUCUCUCU